UUCCCCGUGACAGUCUUGUUUGAGCUGGGCUUCAGACCCCCAGGGAACUGGGAUGUGGAUCCACUGUGCUUAUCCAGCGGCUUGUUCCCAAAUCCCUAAUUCUGCUAUGGGGAAUGCAUGCUCAGUGGUGAAAAGAGGAUCUAAAGAGUGUUGUUAGCUAUGACAGCAAGCAGAGGAUUUUAUUUCAAUGAAGAUAUCUCCUACCUGGAACCAAGAAUGACCUAAUUUCUUGUAGAUCCACCAGCAGGGGCUAGGAAUCUGUAAAGAGAUUCUUACCAACAGCUGCCUGUCCCCAAGAAAGAGCAUCACCUGUCCACAGCAGGGUUUGCUUCUGCUGACCCCUGGGUUUUGUAGCCCUUCUGCCCGAAUCAGUGCUCUUCACCGGAGGGAUGCAGGGCACCUUCCCAGGGACCAUGGUUCUCCUUUUGCUGGUAACAGCAACCUGAGGUUCGCUGAGCUCUGUGAGGAAGCAGACCAACAGGACACUUCCACUGAGAUGUGGAGAAGUCAUUCUCUGGAGAUUGUGGAAGCGGAGGUGAUUUUUCAGUUUGCUGAAGAUCAGGAGAAAGAGAGUAGUCUCAUCAGUUACCACAGGUUGGUAGGACUUGUGUAGGUCUGUUGUUCUUUGCACUUAUUUAUUUUUCAUUCUCUCUUUCUCUUAUCUGCUCCUGUGGGGGUUAAAUAUUACUUCAGUUUCAAAAAAUGGUCUUACUGCCUUUGCUAAUGGUCCCUGAAGAGGAGGUCUGUGGAUAUUGGAAUCAGUUAGGUUUGAGGAAUAGUUAUGGCUGAUAAAGUCUGUAGCCUAUGGUAUGAUUUAAGGGAAUUGUAGACUUUAUUUCUGCCUCGGCAGAGGUAAAAUCAUAGGUCUUUGAGUGCUUUUGAGAAAAAAUAGAGAAAGCGUAUACAGAAAUCGCAGUUAAUGUGAGAAGCUGUCUUGUUUCUUAAAACUGUCUUUAUUUCCCCCUCUGUGCUUGAUUUGAAAUUCAAAAAUUUCUGUUGUGUACAGAAUGAGGAAUUAAAAAGUAAUUGAGGUAUUUUUCUGGCUUGCAGUUAAGAAAUAAAAAUGAGUAGAAGGAAUUCUGACUUAUGAAA
rnacentral:lncRNA from 1 species